UACGUAGGUGGCAAGCGUUGUCCGGAUUUACUGGGCGUAAAGGAUGCGUAGGCGGAUGUUUAAGUGAGAUGUGAAAUACCCGGGCUCAACUUGGGUGCUGCAUUUCAAACUGGAUAUCUAGAGUGCAGGAGAGGAAAGUGGAAUCCUAGUGUAGCGGCGGAAUGCGUAGAGAUCCGGAAGAACACCGGUGGCGAAGGCGGUCUGCUGGGCAGUAGCUGGACACUGAGGCGCGACAGCGUGGGGAGCAACAGG
rnacentral:rRNA from 1 species